rnacentral:rRNA from 1 species
GGUAAACGCUGGCGGCGUGCCUAAAACAUGCAAGUCGAACGGACACUCGCAAGGGUGUCAGUGGCAGACGGCUGAGUAACGCGUGGGUGACGUGCCGAUAGGUGGGGAAUAACUUGCCCGAAAGGGUGGCUAAUACCGCAUACGUCCACUGAUUCGAUUCAGUGGGGAAAGCUUCGCAAGAGGCGCCGAUAGAGCGGCCCGCGUUCGAUUAGCUCGUUGGUGGGGUAACGGCCUACC